AAUCUUCAAAAAAACUAGGUAAGAAAAAAAUUAUGGUUUAUCUUUAAUACACUCAAUUGUCUUAUGGUUAAUUGUGUAGAUAGUUUUUCCUCUUUAGUCCCUCACACUGUAGAAUCAAAUUUGUCUGCAAGGUAGCAGCCCGAUCUUAUGCUAAAUGGGAAGGGGAUGGUAAGAUCUCCACAAGUGGAAUGAUAGCCGGGCUUGGCCAGAUCAGAUGGUGUAACAGAAUGAGCUGCUACUUCUGCUCUUGCUGCUAAAAGUAGUACUGCAAUCAAGGUGAGUAAUUGAAAAGGCAUCUCAGCCCAUAAUUUUUUUCUUUUCUAUUGAAACUUUUUGUGUGUGUGUGUUUGUCAAAUACCCUGAACUGGUACUCAAUAGGAGUUGGUUUCCUUUUGUAAAGCCUCUCAAGUCUUCUUUGUCAAUGAAGGAUAUAAGUAUACAUCAUAAGAUUAAAUGACGAGCUUAAUUAAGACCUAUUUGUUUCAUCUUAAAAUAAUGUCAGAAAAUGUGAUUUUCGUUGAAGUACUUUAGCGAUUUCAAAAUUAUUAGAGAUACAUAUCUGCUUUUAAAUUAUAAAACAAUAUGAAGUUUUGAAUAUGCUAUUAUACUUUUUUCUUAGUUGAUUGAGUAAUUAUAGAUGGAGUAAUAAUCAGGAAAUAAUAAGCUCAAAGCCUGAAAGCCUGAAUAAUAGGUUAAUAACAUUAUAUAUAUUAAAUCAAAUAAGUAAAUUUUCACCAGUAAAUCAAGUAAGUAAGACCUCUCAUGAAUAUUGGUGAAAUGCAUAAACUAUAGAUUUUGCAGUUAUAUGCUUCUUGAAACUCUAAUAUGUAUUUCCAAAAUAUUUGCCACUAAAGCUGCUCUUGUACAUUUGCAUUCAUGUAUCAGAUACAGACUUGCUUGGUUUGUGUGAUACAUGUACAUUCAGAUAUUUAUUCUUCUCGACAUCACAAUUUUGAAAUUCUUUUUUCCUUAUUUGAGACUAAAAAAACUUAUUUUUUGUUGGUAGUAUUUCAAGAUGGAUCCGGUAAAUUAUGAUGGCUAUGGGGGUGUUGAACAUGUACAGUACUAUUUUUAGGUACAUUCUAGUGAACUUCGUAUUUAUGGCUAGGGGUGGUUUCUAUUGCACUUUUUUUUAAUCAACUUUGCAUUCAUUCAAAGCUCUGUAAGGACCACUUACGAAGAAAAAAACAAACGAAAAAAAUAACAGAUGAUAGGUAUAAAAAACAUAAAUUACAUGCCCACUCUUUAAUAUUUUAAUUUGGCUCUAGUUCAUCAAAGGAUGAUUAGAUACGGUUACACAAUAUCCCAUUGAAUGCACAAUUAUUAUCAGAAUAAUAUACUACAUUCAAAAUUUGACAUUUAAUAUAUUUGGACUGAGGAAUGAGGAUCAUAAAGUGGCUAUUUCUAAACUAAAUUUGUUCAUCUCGAAAUCUAAUAUUUGUGCAUCUAUUUUACACGGAGUAUGAUAUAAAACUCUCCUGCCCAUCUAUAUUAAUCUCUGUGUGUGUGUGUCUAUCUUUAUUAUAUAUCUAACUACUGUCUAUGUUGUCUUACAACAACAAUGGAAGGGGAAACAAAAUAAGGUAAGACUCCCACUAAGAAAUACAGCAAGAAGUGUGGAUGACAAUGCACCAUCACCCAUACUAUUUAAAUGAGUCUAUGAUAUGGAUGACUAUGGACAUAAUUACUUAGUUCACAGAGAAUAGUUGUUGAAGUGUCCACUAUCGUAACUUGCCACAAAACUUGUUACGUUUCUUUUAAACAGAGUUAUAGAAGUAUUAUUUUGGUGAAAUCAUACCGUUUUAUAUCUUAUUGCCAAAAUUCCUAUCAUUAUAUAAAAAUAUGGAAAGCUCUUAUAUUUUGUUGAAGUAUAUAUUUAGUUGGUGGUAAGAUGUGAUUAAUACCCUUGUAUGCUUGUAUAUACUCCAUCAUUCACUAAUUUUGGGAAUUAUUUAUUCUUUUCCCCAACAAUUAAUGAUUCUCAUAAAACAUAGUUACUAAUAAUUCAUCACAUAACCAAGCUAGUUCUUCCAUGGUUACCAAUUGUUAAGCUCACUGUGAAAAUGUACCAUGUCACUAAGAAUAUUUUGAGUUACUUUAACCUAUUUCAGAGCAUUAUUAUGGUAUACAAUCACAAGUCCCGAUCCAUUUUUCAUUGUUAUGAAAUUACAAUGGCUAUAGCAUUGGCUAUAAAAACCUUUAAAACAUGACGAAAACUAUGGCUUCUACCUGCUUGAAGAAUGCUUGAAUUUGUUUGAAAAUGCCAUCUAUCUGUUUCUCUUUUAAGUUUCACUGUCAAUAUUCUUUUAUGUCUUUGCUGAUGCCAAGCCUCGUUUAAUAACAAGUGAAACAUAGCCAAAUGUUUGUUUUAAGAAACCAAUUUCAAGGUUAUGUAUAUUGUUCGUAUUAGUUUCGAGUUAGAAAUGUUUUUUAAUCAGCAAUUCUUGCAGUGCAAAUCUAGUGGUGACUUUAAUCUUUGUACACCAUUAAUGCUGAACAGGAUGUGUGUGAGUUCCAAUACAUAAAACUCAUUGAUCUAUGAUAAAGACUACUAAUACAAAUAAGGUGUUGUAACUUGGAAACUUUCUAUUAAUAUUCAACACAAGAACUUUAAUAUUUAAGAGAAUGUGGAAAUAAAAUAACAUAAGUCUAAAACUCAUUGAGUUCUUACUGACUAAAUAUUUUGGAAUUCCCUUUCAUAUUUGAGGUCAACAUAUAAUAAUAAUCUACAAGUCUUGUAACAAAAAAUAUGUUUACCACUAUGCUUACUGAAAUUAAUUCAUGAAAUGGCUUAUUAAGAUUUCAAUUUUGUCUUGUAACAGAGCAAUCUUAUAGUCGCACUGAAGGUUCUUUUUCUAUUUGGAUUUAUAGCAAAUGAUAUUGUGAUUGCCUAUUUGUCUUUUUCUGCUUAUGAGCAAUACGGUGUACAUUAGUACCACGUAGCAACUCUAUUGUCUUUGUGUAUUGAUUUUGGCACUAAGUGCCUCUGGUGACCUAUUUGCUUCAUUUUCCUGACUUGCUAUUAUUUUUAAAUAUGUGCAGGAAGACUGUUUUUACGACCUGCCUUACAAUACUGGGUAUCAAAUUUCCGUGCUACAUUUACGAAAGACAAGGGACGAAAUUAUGAAGUGUACUCUCUCUAUAUAUGUAGGUAUAUACUUUGAUUGAAAAACUGUGGCAGCUUUAGAUGGUUAAUUGUAAAGAUAAUGAAUGAUUAUGUAGUGGAUGCUUUUAUUAAGUUAAUAAUAUUUUAGUUUUUUUUUUAA
rnacentral:lncRNA from 1 species